rnacentral:rRNA from 1 species
AUGGCCGCGGCGACGGCAAUGGCCAUGCUGGCGGCGCUGGCGAUCCUCGCGCCGACGGCGAGGGGGCUCGACCGCGCCGAGUUCCCGCCUGGCUUCCUCUUUGGCGCCGCCACGUCUUCUUACCAGAUCGAGGGCGCGUACCUGGAGGACGGCAAGGGCCUCAGCAACUGGGAUGUCUUCACCCACACGCAGUCUAGGGAAAUCAACGAUGGACGGAACGGGGACGUGGCGGAUGACCACUACCACCGUUACAUGGAAGACGUGGAGAUCAUGCAUGAUCUGGGUGUCAACUCCUACAGGUUCUCGAUCUCAUGGGCGAGAGUCCUACCAAGAGGCCGGCUUGGAGGCGUUAAUUCGGCUGCAAUCGCUUUCUACGACCACCUGAUCGCCGCGCUCCUUCAGAAAGGGAUAGAGCCGUUCGUGACGCUGCAUCACUUCGAUCUGCCGCACGAGCUGGAGACCCGGUACGGCGGUUGGCUGGGCGCCGGAAUCAGGGAGGAGUUCGACCACUACGCGGACGUGUGCUUCAAGGCGUUCGGCGACCGGGUCAAGUUCUGGACCACGCUCAACGAGCCCAACCUCUUCACCAAGUUCGCCUACAUGCUGGGCCACUACCCGCCCAAGCACUGCUCCCCGCCGUUCGGGACCUGCAACAGCGGCAACUCUCACAGGGAGCCCUACGUCGCCGCGCAUAACAUGAUCAUGUCGCACGCCGCCGCCGUCGACAACUACAAGAGGAACUAUCAGGCAACGCAAGGCGGGUCGAUCGGGAUUGUGAUCGCCAUGAAAUGGUAUGAGCCGCUGACCAACUCCACGGAGGAUAUCAUGGCUGCAAGACGUGCGCUGUCCUUUGAGGUGGACUGGUUUCUGGAUCCGAUAUUCUUUGGCGACUAUCCCAGAGAAAUGCGUGAGAUGCUGUCAUCAAACUUACCAAAGUUCACGUCGGAGGAGAAGAGGUUACUACAGAACAAGGCGGAUUUUAUCGGGGUAAACCAUUACACGGCGAUCUACGCCAAGGAUUGCAUCUCUUCUCCAUGCGACAUUAAGACCUACGAGGGAAAUGCAAUGGUCCAAGCUGUAGGCGAAAGAGACGGCGUCGCAAUUGGAAGACCAACUGCAUUCCAUGGUUACUAUGAUGUUCCUGAAGGUAUGGAGCUGAUCGUCAGGUAUGUCAAUCAGCGAUACAAGAACACGCCUGUCUACAUUACUGAAAAUGGCUACUCGCAGCUUAGCGAUAACAGUAUGGAGGACUUGAUGAAUGACGUUGGAAGAGUGAACUACCUGCAGGGUUAUCUCACAUGUAUCUCUUCAGCAGUCAGGAAAGGAGCAAACUUGCAUGGCUACUUCGUGUGGAGCCUCAUGGACAACUUCGAGUGGGGUUUCGGUUUCACCGUGAGGUUUGGGAUUUAUCACGUGGAUUUUGAAACACAAGAGAGGACUCCAAAGAUGUCAGGGAAGUGGUAUCGAGACUUCCUCACGGGCUCUAGGCCGGUGGACCAAGCGCAGACGCUAAGAGCAGAUUCAUGA